rnacentral:rRNA from 1 species
UACGUAGGGGGCUAGCGUUGUCCGGAAUCAUUGGGCGUAAAGAGCGUGUAGGCGGCCCGGUAAGUCCGCUGUGAAAGUCGGGGGCUCAACCCUCGAAUGCCGGUGGAUACUGUCGGGCUAGAGUGCGGAAGAGGCGAGUGGAAUUCCUGGUGUAGCGGUGAAAUGCGCAGAUAUCAGGAGGAACACCAAUUGCGAAGGCAGAACGCUGGGACGUAACUGACGCUGAGACGCGAAAGAGUGGGGAGCAAACAGG